CUACGGGCUGCUGCAGUGAGGAAUUUUGCGCAAUGGGGGCAACCCUGACGCAGCAACGCCGCGUGAGUGAAGAAGGCCUUUGGGUCGUAAAGCUCUGUCAACAGGGAAGAAGUUAUAAUUAUUUAAUAGAUAAUUGUAUUGACGGUACCUGUGGAGGAAGCGCCGGCUAACUCCGUGCCAGCAGCCGCGGUAACACGGGGGGCGCAAGCGUUAUUCGGAAUUAUUGGGCGUAAAGGGCGCGCAGGCGGUCUUGUCCGUCAGGUGUGAAAGCUCGGGGCUCAACCCCGGAAGUGCACUUGAAACAGCAAGACUUGAAUACGGGAGAGGAGAGAGGAAUUCCUGGUGUAGAGGUGAGAUUCGUAGAUAUCAGGAGGAACACCGAUGGCGAAGGCAUCUCUCUGGACCGAUAUUGACGCUAAGGCGCGAAGGCGUGGGUAGCGAACGGGAUUAGAUACCCCAGUAGUC
rnacentral:rRNA from 1 species